rnacentral:rRNA from 1 species
UCCUAGCCCUAAACGUUGAUCACUAGAUGUAGGAAGUAUUGACCCUUUCUGUGUCGAAGCUAACGUAUUAAGUGAUCCGCCUGGGGAGUACGAUCGCAAGGUUGAAACUCAAAGGAAUUGACGGGGGCCCGCACAAGCGGUGGAGCAUGUGGCUUAAUUCGAUGAUACGCGAGGAACCUUACCUGGUCUUGACAUGUAGGAAGUAGAAACCUGAAAGGGUGACCACCGGUAUCCAGUCCGGAGCUUACACAGGUGCUGCAUGGCUGUCGUCAGCUCGUGUCGUGAGAUGUUGGGUUAAGUCCCAUAACGAGCGCAACCCCUAUCUUUAGUUGCCAUCAGGCCUUAUGGUGCUGGGCACUCUGAAGAGACUG